UACGGAGGGUGCAAGCGUUAUCCGGAUUCACUGGGUUUAAAGGGUGUGUAGGCGGGUAGGUAAGUCAGUGGUGAAAUCUUCGAGCUUAACUCGGAAACUGCCUUUGAUACUAUCUAUCUUGAAUAUUGUGGAGGUAAGCGGAAUAUGUCAUGUAGCGGUGAAAUGCUUAGAUAUGACAUAGAACACCUAUUGCGAAGGCAGCUUACUACGCAUAUAUUGACGUGAGGCACGAAAGCGUGGGGAUCAAACAGG
rnacentral:rRNA from 1 species